GUCCUGUUGGGGAUUUGCUCCACGUGUCUGUGCCACUGAGCGUGGUGGCCUUGAGGAACCGAGGGC
rnacentral:snoRNA from 1 species